rnacentral:rRNA from 1 species
CCUACGGGUGGCAGCAGUGAGGAAUAUUGGUCAAUGGACGCAAGUCUGAACCAGCCAUGCCGCGUGCAGGAAGACGGCUCUAUGAGUUGUAAACUGCUUUUGUACGAGGGUAAACGCAGAUACGUGUAUCUGUCUGAAAGUAUCGUUCGAAUAAGGAUCGGCUAACUCCGUGCCAGCAGCCGCGGUAAUACGGAGGAUUCAAGCGUUAUCCGGAUUUAUUGGGUUUAAAGGGUGCGUAGGCGGUCGGAUAAGUUAGAGGUGAAAUCCCGAGGCUCAACUUCGGAAUUGCCUCUGAUACUGUUCGGCUAGAGAGUAGUUGCGGUAGGCGGAAUGUAUGGUGUAGCGGUGAAAUGCUUAGAGAUCAUACAGAACACCGAUUGCGAAGGCAGCAUGCCGGCUCCACACUGACGCUGAGGCACGAAAGCGUGGGUAUCGAACAGGAUUAGAUACCCUAGUAGUC